rnacentral:rRNA from 1 species
UGUGGUUUAUUCGAUGAUACGCGAGGAACCUUACCCGGGCUUGAACUGCAGGAGAACGAUUCAGAGAUGAUGAGGUCCUUCGGGACUCCUGUGGAGGUGCUGCAUGGUUGUCGUCAGCUCGUGCCGUGAGGUGUCGGCUUAAGUGCCAUAACGAGCGCAACCCCUCUCCGUAGUUGCCAUCGGGUAAUGCCGGGCACUCUGCGGACACUGCCACCGUAAGGUGUGAGGAAGGUGGGGAUGACGUCAAAUCAGCACGGCCCUUACGUCCGGGGCCACACACGUGUUACAAUGGCCGUCACAGAGGGGAGCCGGGCGACCGGCUCAUGAUCCUUAAAAACGGUCUCAGUUCGGACUGGGGUCUGCAACCCGACCCCACGAAGCUGGAUUCGCUAGUAAUCGCGCAUCAGCCAUGGCGCGGUGAAUACGUUCCCGGGCCUUGUACACACCGCCCGU